GCGGAGGGAUCAUUACUGAGUUACCGCUCUAUAACCCUUUGUGAACAUACCUACAACUGUUGCUUCGGCGGGCAGCGCGGCCACUGCGGCCCGCUCCCGGCCCCGCUCGUCGGGGCGCCCGCCGGAGGAUAACCAAACUCUGAUUUAACGACGUUUCUUCUGAGUGGCACAAGCAAAUAAUCAAAACUUUUAACAACGGAUCUCUUGGUUCUGGCAUCGAUGAAGAACGCAGCGAAAUGCGAUAAGUAAUGUGAAUUGCAGAAUUCAGUGAAUCAUCGAAUCUUUGAACGCACAUUGCGCCCGCCAGCAUUCUGGCGGGCAUGCCUGUUCGAGCGUCAUUUCAACCCUCAAGCACUGCUUGGCGUUGGGGCUCUACGGUUGACGUAGGCCCUCAAAGGUAGUGGCGGACCCUCUCGGAGCCUCCUUUGCGUAGUAACUUUUGUCUCGCACUGGGAUUCGGAGGGACUCUAGCCGUAAAACCCCCCAAUUUUCCAAAGGUUGACCUCGGAUCAG
rnacentral:rRNA from 1 species